CAAUAACCAAGGGUCAAAAUAACCAUACAUUGAACAAUAACAAUAAGCAUACAGAAGAGGACAUGUGCAGGUUGAUUGGUCUGUCAGACAUGGUCCCUCAUCUUAUGGCAGGCAGCAAUGUAGUGUGCUGCCAACCCACAGCUCUCUGCGUCCUCCCCCAACAGGACGGGUAGCCUAUUCUCAUCAGAGAGGUCUCUCUGCGUCCUCCCCCAACAGGACGGGUAGCCUACUCUCAUCAGAGAGGUCUCUCUGCGUCCUCCCCCAACAGGACGGGUAGCCUACUCUCAUCAGAGAGGUCUCUCUGCGUCCUCCCCCAACAGGACGGG
ensembl:lncRNA